rnacentral:rRNA from 1 species
GACGGAACGCUGGGCGGCGUGCCUAAUACAUGCAAGUCGAACGCAUUUUCGUUUCACCGUAGCUUGCUACACCGAAAGAAAAUGAGUGGCGAACGGGUGAGUAACACGUGGGUAACCUGCCCAUCAGCGGGGGAUAACACUUGGAAACAGGUGCUAAUACCGCAUAAUUCCAUCUACCGCAUGGUAGAUGGAUGAAAGGCGCUUUUGCGUCACUGAUGGAUGGACCCGCGGUGCAUUAGCUAGUUGGUGGGGUAACGGCUUACCAAGGCGAUGAUGCAUAGCCGAGUUGAGAGACUGAUCGGCCACAAUGGAACUGAGACACGGUCCAU